UGGUGGAGUGAUUUGUCUGGUUAAUUCCGUUAACGAACGAGACCUUAGCCUGCUAAAUAGUCGCGGCGAUCUCGAUCGUCGUCGACUUCUUAGAGGGACUUUGUGGCACUAAACACAAGGAAGUUUGAGGCAAUAACA
rnacentral:rRNA from 1 species